rnacentral:ncRNA from 1 species
GAUUAUCGAAGGAUUAGCCUUAAUAUCAUAAUC